AUCAUUUAAUGAUGAAAAAAUCCUUUUCCAUGUACUUUCAUCUUUGAGGAGGCCACAUGGAAGCACCAUCACAACAUAAAAUGUU
rnacentral:sRNA from 1 species